GCCGCCGCCGCAAAAGCUGCAGGCGCGCGCUCGCGCGCGCUCAUAACACACACUACUACCUCCUGCAUGACUCAUCACUGAAGCAACAAUAGGCAGAGAGAAAGGAAAGAAGGACGAAGCACUCUCUACCACAACCGACGCGCCGAGGGGUUUAGAGGGUGGGUUGUAAGCAAACACAAGAGUGCACAGAAACUGCACACAACUGGGACAAGGCUAAGGCCCUCACAACACAGAAAAGCAGGUGUUUCCCCUCAGCCCUCCUUUCUGCAGCACCCUGAAUCUAAGGACCACUCUCAAGGGCGUACGGGGUUAGGUAGCAUUAAAAUGCUCAUACGGGAGCGCCGAAGUUUGCUCCUCUUCAGCCCAGCUCAUUCCACUGCGUGAUAAGGGACAAUGCCGGGAAGGCCUGGAUUAAAUACUGGAGAUUCAGAUGACCACCAAAGGCGGGUGCAGCUCUUCUUUCCCAGCGCAAAGCCUCUCCCUAGGAGAGGCCCAGCGGCCAAGGCCCAAUCCCAGGUAAAGCCCCUCACCAGCCCCGCCCAAGCCCCGCCUCCAGGCAAGCGCUAGGCUUCGAGGAGGGGCCCGGCAAAGCCGUCCCCUGCGGGAGUGUCCCCCGUGCACGUGGUCGGAGGCGGGGCCCGUCCACGUCAUCACCUGGUGUAACCAACUGGCUUAGAACGCAUGCACACGCAACAUUCCAGCCCAGAGCGGGUUUGGAACGCACAGACACGCCACAUUCCACACCGGCUAAAGCGGGGAUCUGGGAGGGGUCCCCAGAGGCUGUCCCCAGUGAUUCGCGGGCCUUUUUGCAGACACCAAUCUGCCCGGCUUUCACCCAAACCCCUGAUGCGCGACCCAACCCAGCCCUGGGAGGCGGGGUCAGGCGGGGCUGGCCAGGAUCAUAAGACACGCGAUGUCAUUUCAUUCUGCAAAGGCCGCCUCCUCCCCAAGCGGGGCGUAGAUCUGCCGGGAGCGCCCCCCGAACCCUCCCGCCAGGGCAGGGGAAGCCGGAGAACUGUUCCGCGUAGAGUAAUCCCCACCCCCACUGUUACACACACGCCCACUCGUGUGCUGUACACACGUCCGUGUACACGUCCGUGCAUCCGUUCUCCCCGAGGCACCCUUCACGCAUUCCCUGUGCACACACGCACGCGGGUCUGCCUCCCCCACGCAACACCAUCUUCCAUCCCACUCCCCGGCUCUUCAAAGCGACCGAGGGCGCUGCCGGCCCACGCGAAAGAAGCCCCCAGUGGAAGGUGCACAGGGGUACUAAGCAGCCGGGGUUUGCCGGCAGAAGCCGGGUCUCUCGCUGCAUGUUAAUGAAUUCAUUAAUUAUUUUAACUGCCCACAUCACUCCUCCCGGGCGGCGGCUCUUUCAGAGGGCUGUGCACAGCCCAGUUUCUCGGCUGCCAGGGAAGAGGGUCUGCCUGCAGUCUCGCGUGGGUCUGUGGCCCAGGGUCACUCACCUCCCCUUCCCCCGUGCCCCAGGGGCCCAGCCCGGCCGCUCACCACGUGCUCUCUGUUGUUGCUGCGCUUGCCAUUCCAGGAAGCGAGCCGCCUCCAGUAGCGUCUCUAUGCUCAUCGCGCCGAGAGCGGCCGGGGGCGCGCCGGGGCCGAAGAUGCGGCCCGCGAGCCAGGCACAGGUCAGGCUGGCGGGCGGGCAGGAGGGAGGGAUCACCUCCGGGGGGCGACAGGACUGGGCGGCGCAGCGCACUCCACAGGAAAGAACGGGGAGAGCACGGGCAGGAAAAUCAAUGUCUCCCAAAAUAUUUGCAAAAUAUAAAUUUGCAAAUUUGAAAAAUCGAUGCAAAAAAAAAAGGCGGCACUGCCUCCCUCCUUCCCCUCCCUCUCUUGCUCUCUUCUGAUGUCUCCCGCCCAGCGGCCUCCAAGAGUCCCGCCGACAAGAAAGGGCUUUGCAACAAGAUGGCGAGGAGGCACCGACACACACAACAAGGGAAGGAGUCGCGCUGCCCCCGGCCGCCGCCCCCGCUACUACACCGGGGCCGCAGCCAAAGCCCGGACCGGAGCCCCCACCCGCAGGGCCCUGGCUUCUGGAGGAGGGAGGGGCGGGGUCGCGAGCAGGCUGAUCCCGCCCACUCCAGGGGGCGCGCGCGGGCGCGCACACGUGGCCUGGGUGGGGGUGGGAGACUAUGAAACCAGGUUUGCUCAAUGUAUUUCCGCUUUCCCGCCUCGCCCCGCUCGGUUUGCGAGACACUAGUUGAGCAAAGGGCGCAUGAUUGGGUCAUUCACAACCAAAAUCUGUCCUGCAGGAGAGAAGAAAGGGUCGAAAAUUCAAAAAAAUUUAAGUUAGUUCAGAUAAGGAUAUUCCAGGUCAGGGAAACUUGACGACAGGCGAGACUGGCCUGACUCUUAGACCUCCGUUCCCCACCCACCCGCGACCUAAAUCCGCAACCACUCGGCGGUCGCAAUUACUCUGGGAUCCGCCCCGGGGCGGAGCUGACCACAGCAGGCUGCGAUAGAUCAGGCGGGAGGGAGCGGAGUAGUAAUCCGGUUCCGCGUUUUGUCUUCGUUCCUCCCCCCGCAGUGCGUUCGCAUCCUAUUAGGCUACGUCACCGGGCCGCCGGCCAAUGGGAGGGCAGGACAACACGGCAUGGAGCGGCUCCACAUGGACACCCCGCGCCGCCAGCCUUCUGUUUAAAGGGCCAGUUUCUGCGAGGGUACAGCAGAUUCGGAUGGGGCCGCUGGGGUGAACUCAGGGUGAGACACCUAAAGGGGAAUCCCGCAGUCCUGCCGUACCCUGCCCUCUACGGCUUACCACCCCCCUAUUUAAAACCACGUCUUUCUCUUCCCUACCCCUAAAUUCUUGUCUUUGUGUUUGAUACGAGUAGAGAUUCCGACAGUACUAACCCAGAGGCCACCCUUUGCUCUGAGGCCCGGGCGGCGGCGGUCAAGGCGAACCAUCCCUAGCCCAGGCCAAGGGGGCGUGGCCCAAAUCGGGAACAACAACGUGGAGGCGGAAGCCAACCCCCCGCCCCCCCCUCCCGCGCGCGCGGCUGGGCGACCGAGGCCACGGGCGGGGUGCGGGCUCUGGCGGGGCGGGGCUGCUGCGUCUGGCUGUGGCCGUUCUCUCCUGGGGCACGCCCGCCCGCCUCUUCCUAGCGAUAGUGUUUGGGUACACCAGGCGCGCAACCAGAAAGUUAGAUCUUUGAGUUGGGCCUGCCCAGAUCCUCUUCCUUCGCUUAUAAGGAAAAUGAAGCUCAGAGACAGGAAGAGACUUGUCUAAGAUCAUUCAGUAUUCUGGCCGCUCUCCGCCCCACGGAGAGGAGCGUUUAUCUCUGACCCCUAGGCAAUAAUGUGAUGUUACUUCUGAGGCAGAGCCCCGAAUCAGAAGAAAGCCAAGGAGGAAUCUAAAACUGCGGGGCAGGAAGGGGUGACCACUUGACACAUUGUGAUAUGGGGCAACAAAAAUUGCCUGAAACCCAGCCCUGCUAUUUUGCUUCUUGGCUGGAGGCCACACUGUCACCACUGGCAACGUUGGUAGUGACAGAUACCAGCUGCCUGACAGCAUAUUUUGGGGCAUCCGGGAGCAUGUGCAGUUCUGUUGUCACAGCCUGAGCCAGAGGACCUGUUAAGACCGCAGAUUUGGUUAACCCUGGGAAUGGGGUGAUGUAAGCAGUUUGUAGAUUCUGAGGUUCACCGUUACACAAUGCCAAAGCAAACCCUCAUGAGGACUGCUGAGGUAGGCCGUGCUGCCAGUUCCUCCAAUCCACACUGUACCCACAGGUAUGUAUGCCCAUUUCAGGGACUGGCUGGAGAAGAGCCAGAAAGCCUGUAGAGAUGAUCGCUUGUCGGCUCUGCUGCUUUCCUUUGAGGGCAUCAUAGUGCAUCCUAGGCAAAGAAACCCCACACAAGAAGAUCCCAGAAAUCAAAAACCUCACACACAGGGCCUCUGAUCUUGGCAUGUAUAAUGUCCAAGCAUUUGGAUCUGUGCAGGGAGAAACACAAAUGUCUGGGUGCCACUGACUUAGCUUAUGGUGACAGUGGACCAAAGGGAGAUUAGAUCACAAUAGCCUAGUUUUUCUCCCUGGUUUGAGGUCUUUUUUUUUAGGAAGGCAUGAUGGGUGCUAGCCCAGACACUGUUCCCUUUGUCUGCCACUUGUGUCCUGGUGUGGCUGGGUCUGGCUCCUUCUGCACAAGAGAAAAUGGGAAACUUAAAAGCAGUAUGGUAGGCAGGAGGUGUGUGUUUGUGGGAGUUAAACAGCAUACAUCAUGAUGUAUAUGCAGAUUCUCAUGCCUUUUCACUUUGCUUGAGGUUAGCGUCAUAAAGUUCAGUUUAGAGAGCUGCAUGCAGCCUGUCUCUGCUUUCCUAAGGUGGUCAUGGCACCCAUGCAGCCCGGCAGUUUCUUCUAGAGUCUGAAAUCCAAUUUCCCUGACUAUUCUUGUCAAGAACUGGCUCUGUACCAUUCAAUAGGCACCUCUCUGAGUAGCAGUAUUCUGAAAACCUUUUCCUUCAGAGGGAGGAAGCAGGAACUAAAAGUAGGGUGUCCCUGGUGCAUGCCUGUGAUCCCAACACAGGAGGCCGAGGCAGGAGGAUCUCUGGGAGUUUGAAGCUAGCCUUUGUUACACAAAUUCAAGACUAGCCUGCACUACAUACUAUCUUUAAAAAAAAAAGAGGUGAACACACAUUUGAAUGGUGGCCUCUCCCUUGUUCCCAAUACCCCAUCUGCUCCAGAGCUUAGUGGUGAUGCUUGCUAUUUAAAACAAACAGCCUUACUGGCUUCACAUGAUCAUCUGUUUAUUUGGGUCAUAUGGGGACAGCAGCCUGGGAAUGUUAGGCAAAAGUGAAGGUUUAGAGAGAGGCUUUUGCUGAGCCUGUGGUUUCUGACAGGACCUGAAAUUGCCCAAAUAGAAUUUCCCAUCAAUCAAGGUUUCCCUCAGGUCAGGAGUAGACAGUGAGGUGGGAGGCCUCUAUGGAGAGAAGGAGUAUGUCCCAGGUAGUGAACAGUGCUGUUUAACACUUCAGUCCCAGCCUCCUGCCCCAAGGAGGAAGAGCCAGGGUAGAAGCUGGCAAGAGUUUUCACUCAAGAGGAAGAGAAGCUGUUUUGAUGGCUCAGCACAAAGCUUGACAGGUUUGGGGAACUCUCAAGCCCAGCCAUCCCCAAGCAGUUUUCCUGCAGUCUCUGAAUGGCUUCUGUGCACUUACAGACACUGGGCCAGGAGGAAACUUGAGUCACCCACCUCUGUGCAUUUGCUUAUAAUAGGAGCGUUUCUAUUUUCAGUCUUCCUCCUCCUGUCUUACGUACCCCCUACUCAGCUCAAAUCCACUGAGCCCCUCUGUGCCCCUCAUCUCAAAAGAGUACUACAUGUACAGCUCUAAGAGCUGUAGGAAAAUAGGUUCCCUGAGACUUCCUGAGUGAUGACAUGGGGCAGAGGGGAGCUAAAUGUACAACUGUCUCCUCUAAAUCCCAGAGGAUGUCCCAGCCUUUCAGGUCUGACUUCUCAUCUUUUGCUAGUGACUUUAGGGAACUUUCCCCGCAUAAUUACACAAGACUGAAGAGAGAAGGUCAGCUGUGCAGUGAUAGGAAGGGACGGGAAAAAAGAGGAAGGGACAGAAGACCGCUACACUCAGGGACACACCAACAACAUGCAUGCAACAAAUAUUUACUGUGAGCCUAACAUGUGUCAGGCUAGGUAUCCUGGUAGCCAAGGCCUAGAGAUCUUCAGUAAGCCAGAGGGGAGGAAAAGGUCACAGGACAGAAUUCAUCCCCACAGGCACAUUGAGAAAGGUUAAUCUGUGCUCUAACAACAUGCUGGAUGUAGGCCAAGACAUAGUAUGGUCACACAGUACCAAGCAAAGACAGUGACAUGUUCAUUUUAGUUCUCAGAUUCGUCAUACUUCUCUAAGAACAGGUGGAAAGAAAUUAAGUGGGUUAAAGGUGGGAUUAGUCAGCUGAAGCUGUCUACACCACCAGUAAAAAUAAACAGGAUUGUGAAUUUCUGUGUCGGGCAGACCCUGUGGGGCAACUACCCAAUGGUUAGUGAAGUGGGCUCUCCAGAACCAGAAGUCCCCACAGGAGUCCUCACCUCCACAUAAAUUAGAGGACCUCUCUGGAACCCAUCAAAUAGGUAUGAUCAAGUUCCCCCUUGCCAGGCAGGGAACUUUCCCCUCUCCAUUACCUCACAAAA